rnacentral:lncRNA from 1 species
AUGGGCCAAGGUGAGAUCAUCGUGGUUCUUACAGGAAAAUGGAUCCAGAGGUGUUCCUUCCCAGCCCUUCAAGUCCCUAGGAAGACUCCCAAGGAUUGGAUGGAUGGACGUCCAAUGUUACAGAAAACAAAGCUGCAGAUAAAAGAUCAUUGCCUUCUAAAACUGUUCUGGCUGAAAUCCCUGCACCUCUUAGUAUUUGGGAGGAAAAGAAAAGUCAAGGUUUGUGUUGAUCGACCUUCCUCGCUUCAGCAUGAACAGAUUGGAAGUGCUACCCCAAACCCCAAAUCCCAAACCCCAGAGAUUGCUUGCAGAGAUAGCCCAACAUCUCCUCUUGUCACACGUGCCCUGUAGCCAUAUGGUCCGCCAUUCUCCUUCAGUUACCUGGCCUCACCUAGAGACUUGUUUAAUGAACAGAACGCUGCAGAAGUGAAUCACACAGCUUCAGAGACUACACCUCAAGAGGUCUGGCAACUUCCAUUUUUGCCUUCUUGGAACCCUGAGCCACCAGGUAAGGAUGGCUGGCUAAACAGCUAAAAAGAUCACUUAGAGAGAGAGGCUCUGGCUGAUAGACAAUGGCAACCAUGAGACAUGUUCUAUCUCCAGCCACCCCCUUGGCUGCAGCCAGAUGAGCGAUCUUGGCCAAUACCUUGUGGGGCGGAGGAAGCGCUGGGCUGAGUCCAGCCAAACCACACAAUCGUGAGAAGUGAUAAACAGUUGCUGUUUUAAGGUA